rnacentral:rRNA from 1 species
AUUGAACGCUGGCGGCAUGCCUUACACAUGCAAGUCGAACGGCAGCACGGACUUCGGUCUGGUGGCGAGUGGCGAACGGGUGAGUAAUAUAUCGGAACGUGCCCUAGAGUGGGGGAUAACGUAGCGAAAGUUACGCUAAUACCGCAUACGAUCUAAGGAUGAAAGUGGGGGAUCGCAAGACCUCAUGCUCGUGGAGCGGCCGAUAUCUGAUUAGCUAGUUGGUGGGGUAAAAGCCUACCAAGGCGACGAUCAGUAGCUGGUCUGAGAGGACGACCAGCCACACUGGGACUGAGACACGGCCCAGACUCCUACGGGAGGCAGCAGUGGGGAAUUUUGGACAAUGGGGGCAACCCUGAUCCAGCAAUGCCGCGUGUGUGAAGAAGGCCUUCGGGUUGUAAAGCACUUUUGGCGGGAACGAAACGGUGGGGGCUAAUAUCCUCUGCUAAUGACGGUACCCGCAGAAUAAGCACCGGCUAACUACGUGCC